GUGAGGGGAGUGAAAUAGAACCUGAAACCGUGUACGUACAAGCAGUGGGAGCCCUUCGGGGUGACUGCGUACCUUUUGUAUAAUGGGUCAGCGACUUACAUUUUGUAGCGAGGUUAACCGUAUAGGGGAGCCGUAGGGAAACCGAGCCUUAACUGGGCGUCUAGUUGCAAGGUGUAGACCCGAAACCGGGUGAUCUAGCCAUGGGCAGGUUGAAGGUUGAGUAACAUCAACUGGAGGACCGAACCCACUAACGUUGCAAAGUUAGGGGAUGACCUGUGGCUGGGGGUGAAAGG
rnacentral:rRNA from 1 species